AUACAACAGCCUCCCAACAGUCUUGAUUUGAAUGUGCUCAACCUUGGGUUUUUCAACUCGCUCCAAUCCCUGACAGAUUGUCUGAGUCCUAAAACACUACAAGACCUUAUUAAGGGUGUUUUGGAGGAAUUUGAAGGCUAUGACGUUUACAAGCUCAACAGAAUUUUCCUAACUUUGCAGACAUGCAUGAUUGAGAUCCUGAACCAUGCAGGGGGCAAUGGGUAUAAAAUACCCCAUGUAAACAAGGAAAGGCUUGAGGGGCUUGGGCAACUACCUCCAAGAUUAUCAUGCCAUACAGAGGUGUAUGCAAAUGCCCUACACAACUUAGGGCUAAUGGGGAGGGUUUAG
rnacentral:rRNA from 1 species